rnacentral:piRNA from 1 species
ACUGUAUACCCCCCGGGACAGGGAUUC